rnacentral:rRNA from 1 species
AUUGAACGCUGGCGGCAGGCCUAACACAUGCAAGUCGAGCGGAUGAAGGGAGCUUGCUCCUGGAUUCAGCGGCGGACGGGUGAGUAAUGCCUAGGAAUCUGCCUGGUAGUGGGGGAUAACGUCCGGAAACGGGCGCUAAUACCGCAUACGUCAUGAGGGAGAAAGUGGGGGAUCUUCGGACAUCACGCUAUCAGAUGAGCCUAGGUCGUAUUAGCUAGUUGGUGGGGUAAAGGCCUACCAAGGCGACGAUCCGUAACUGGUCUGAGAGGAUGAUCAGUCACACUGGAACUGAGACACGGUCCAGACUCCUACGGGAGGCAGCAGUGGGGAAUAUUGGACAAUGGGCGAAAGCCUGAUCCAGCCAUGCCGCGUGUGUGAAGAAGGUCUUCGGAUUGUAAAGCACUUUAAGUUGGGAGGAAGAGCAGUAAGUUAAUACCUUGCUGUUUUGACGUUACCAACAGAAUAAGCACCGGCUAACUUCGUG